rnacentral:lncRNA from 1 species
CAUGAAUGGCGUGUAUCCCGCCUAUUGAAGAUUCUGGUUCCCCCUCACAGGACCGUGGCUUUGAUUGAUAAAGGUGAAGACCUAUUUCAUAGGGGUGUUCUGGGAUUCUCUUCCUAGUUGAGCAUCAUCGGUGAUCAAACGGUGAGUUAACCAAACCCUAAUUAGCGUUCUGGAUGUUCCUACCUUGUGCUUAUUACAUAUGCAUAUCCCCUGUUUGGUCAAUGUGUUUGGGUUGAUGCUAAUAUUUUGGUAAUUUUGAAUGGGUUGAUCGAGUAGCUUGAUUCUAAGUUGCCAUGGGAUAUUGAUCAACUCACUUUUGUCAAGCUUCUGCUUUGUGUCUCUUCUGAUUAUGCUACAACCCU